GGCCCUUCCCGUGAGGAACCCCGUGGGGCGCCGCACUAAACGCCACGAUGGCCCGGCCCUCCUCGGUCUGCACGGGCUGAGCCACGCCCCCCAGAUCGGCAUCCCCCGAAGGAGGAAUAGCCCCGAGGGCCAAGACCGUCUCCUCCGGCCCUUGGGGCCUCGGCGUCCCCAUCUCCUACCCCUCUCCUUCCCGGGGGAGUUCUCCUCUUCGCGGCUCAGGGGGGUGGCGAUUUGGGCCUCGCCGACCCAGGGGUCGACUGCGCCCCCCUCUUCACGGCCUUCAGCGGAGCCAGCGCCACCGAGGCUGCCUUGUGCUUCCAGCUGAUGAAAGGAUAACGCAAGUCAGAAGAAAGAGAAAAACAAAAAAUCAAAAGAAAAGUCAGAAAACCUAUACAUACC
rnacentral:lncRNA from 1 species